GUUUUGAGACCUUGGGGUUUAGCCAAAAUAGCUGCGUCAAUCAAGAGUAUAUGUGUGCCUUGCUGUAGCCUUCGCAGAUACAAACAAUGCAGAAUUUGCGAAGUCAAUCUGAGCCCAUGAGAAGGAACCAAUGAUUGAAAGAAAGUGAAAGAAGAGGGCAUGAGAAGGCCUUGGUGAGUAGGGUAAAGGAAAACCCCAAGGC